AUUGAACGCUGGCGGCAUGCUUUACACAUGCAAGUCGAACGGUAACAGGCCUUCGGGUGCUGACGAGUGGCGAACGGGCGAGUAAUGCAUCGGAACGUGCCCAGCGGUGGGGGAUAACGCAGCGAAAGCUGUGCUAAUACCGCAUGUGAUCUGAGGAUGAAAGCGGGGGACCAGGCAGCAAUGUUUGGCCUCGCGCCUUUGGAGCGGCCGAUGUCGGAUUAGGUAGUUGGUGGGGUAAAGGCCUACCAAGCCGACGAUCUGUAGCUGGUCUGAGUGGACGACCGGCCACACUGGGACUGAGACACGGCCCAGACUCCUACGGGAGGCAGCAGUGGGGAAUGUUGGACAGUGGGCGCAAGCCUGAUCCAGCAAUGCCGCGUGCGGGAAGAAGGCCUUCGGGUUGUAAACCGCUUUUGUACGGAACGAAAAGGCUCUGGCUAAUACCUGGGGCUGAUGACGGUACCGGAAGAAUAAGCACCGGCUAACUACGUG
rnacentral:rRNA from 1 species